rnacentral:rRNA from 1 species
GAUGAACGCUGGCGGCGUGCCUAACACAUGCAAGUCGAGCGAAGCGCUUAAAUUAGAUUUCUUCGGAAUGACGAUUUUUGUGACUGAGCGGCGGACGGGUGAGUAACGCGUGGGUAACCUGCCUCAUACAGGGGGAUAACAGUUAGAAAUGACUGCUAAUACCGCAUAAGACCCCAGCUUCGCAUGAAGCGGUGGUAAAAACUCCGGUGGUAUGAGAUGGACCCGCGUCUGAUUAGCAAGUUGGUAAGGUAACGGCUUACCAAGGCGACGAUCAGUAGCCGACCUGAGAGGGUGACCGGCCACAUUGGGACUGAGACACAGCCCAGACUCCUACGGGAGGCAGCAGUGGGGAAUAUUGCACAAUGGGGGAAACCCUGAUGCAGCGACGCCGCGUGAAGGAUGAAGUAUUUCGGUAUGUAAACUUCUAUCAGCAGGGAAGAAAGUGACGGUACCUGACUAAGAAGCCCCGGCUAACUACGUG